ensembl:ncRNA asRNA:CR45535 antisense RNA:CR45535
ACCUUGCCGUCCUUGUCCAGGUCGAACUUCUUGAGCACAAUCUCCACCAGAUCCUUGACGCCCUCGUCGGGAUCUUCGUCCUGCGGUUGUUUUAUCAGGCAAUUUCGCAGCAGCGUAAACAUUUCAUCCUUGGUGAUGAAGCCAUCCGUGUUCAGGUCGUAAACCCGGAAGCAAAAAGCCGCCCGUUCCGCCGGCGUGCCGCGCAGGAAUGUUGAAAGUCCAAUGAGCCAGCCCUCGAGGCGAAGGGGCAAACCCUCGUGGGCCUUGUCCCAGCUGCAGAAGAUGCGCUCCAUCAGGAUCUCCUCGGUGACGAUGUCGAAAGUGCUGUGCAACAGCUCGCGGAACACAAUGCGAUCGAUGCCCUACGAAGAGUGGCGCUGAAACACCAUUUCUUGACAGGAUCUGUUCAUAGUUACCUCCACGGCAGCAUGUGGCUUGGCAAUAGCUGCGCUCGAGGAGCUGGAGGCCAGCGUCUUGGCCGCAUAUUGACAAUUUGAUACCAGCUUGCGAUAGAUGCGGCACAACGCAUCCAGCUCGUCCCUAUUCGGGCGCCAAGUGGCACAUACAGUUCAUCAUCGUACUCCAAAUUAUGCUGUCCAACAGCUUGGGAUUCACUUUGCCGCUCAACUCAUCCAUCCUCCGUUGCCGCUGUUGCCGUUUGUUCUGCAAAGCAGCCGCGGCGGCCUUCGACUGUUGGUUGCUCGAGUUGCGCUUGCCGCUGGCAAGGAACACGGAUACCGUUUUCAGUAUCGUUUUGUUGGCAUGUAGUGUGGAUCUACCAACGCCAGUGGUGCCGCCAGUUGCUGUGGGUGCCGCUGCAACACCACCACCACCACCACCACCGCCUCCACCACUGCCAGCACCAGCCGUUGCCCCGCCAUCCCGAUUGGGUGUCGGUGUUGGCGAACGACCCUUGCCAGCGCCCGCCUUUCCUGCAACCCAAAAAAAAAAUAAGGUUCAGCUUUACAUGGGUGCGUGUCUCUGUCUUUGUGUUGGCCUGCUGCUGCUUUAUGUGUCAAAGUCGACACGCUCACCCCCAAAACUCCUGGCGCCGAAAUAAACUCCUCCUCCUUGGCGAGCUUAGCCAGCAAAGGCCCUUCAAGUGUGUGGAUGUGGAGCAGAGCAAACAAAAGGCCUGAAAUGCAAAUGCGCCUCGCCAGAAUCAAAACCAUUCCCAUACCCCCAUUCACCCCAUUCGCGGCCCAUUCAAAUGGGUAAUAGCGUUCACAUUCGGCUCAUAAAUUGUUUUAGCCGGCUAUUUCGAUUCGAAAUACACUGAGCGAAACCAAAAGCUGAGAACUUAACUGCACCCCAUCUGGUAUACAAACCUCAUAUGCUUAUGAGAUUUACAAUCCAAAGUAUCUUACCAUAUCUCACAUAAAUUCAUAACGAUUGGACUAAUAUUAUAGAUAUUAUAUGUACACAAUCCCAUUCAGUGAUACUGAUUGAUACUUC